AAUGAAUUCUAUGAUCAAACUAAAAGUCAGGAUGACGAAAUGAACUGCAUUAGAAACCUGAUAAAUUCUGUAACGUAUGUUAAAAAAAAAGGAAAGGCAUGUUCACACGUGAGAGAGAGAGAGAGAGAGGGGAAGCUCUCAAAUCGACCCGCAAAACCGGACCCAACCCCGCAAACCCGACCCGCCCACUGUUUCCGUUUCCGACCACCCCACCGGCCAAGGGAGGUAUCGAUCGAAAUACCUUGAGCCGCUGGUUAUUUUUCCCUCGUCAUUUCCAUCGGAAAAACAGCCAAAAAGCCACCGAUCGAGGCCGUUAAGAACCGCGGAAUCGCCGCCUCUGUUCGCCACGAUUUGGCUGGUUUCCGGCCACGCCAACGGCUGGUUUUUACUCCUCACACCACCACCUUUCAUUUCCGACUAUCCACAUUCACCGGCAGCCACCGAUUUGCUGCCGGCCAAUUGUUGAGGUGCUCACGGCUGUCGAGCUAGAUUCCGACGCCGUCGCCGCGUGUCAGAGCACAUCGACGCAACCGCUGGAUUCAGCAAGGCACGAACCUUCUAUCCCGACCUUUCCGGUCACCGUCGCAUGAAUUCCGGUCACCGUUGAAUUUGAGGGUAAUUUCAUAAAUUUUUAAUUUUGUGAGUAUUUCAAUAAUUUCUAAUUUGGAGGAUAAAAUUUGAGGAUAAUUUGAUAAAUUAUGAUUUCGAGGAUAAUUUGGUAACUUGUGAUUUGGAGAUUUCAGGGGCAAUUGAGAUUAUGUUUAGGUGUUUAUAAUGAGAAAUUUGAGGACAUUGAAAUUAUGAUUAUGACUUGAUUUUAUCUUAUGAGGAUUUUCUUAUUUGUUUUAGGUCGAUGAUAUAUAUUUGCAUUUGUUACUUGAGGAUGUCAUAAGGUAAGUAAAUUAGAUUUUUAAAUGAAUUAUGAUAAAUAAUAUGUAUAUGUUUGACAUAUUUAAAAAGUCUAUUUUGAUAUGUACGGAUAUAGAUUUGUAUGUUUGUCCAUGUGUUUAUGUGAUGUGUUAAUAUGGUGUGUUGUUAUGUGUUAUGUGUGUUUAUGGACAUG
rnacentral:lncRNA from 1 species